AGUAGAAAGAGCUGGGAGGAGAGAUACCUGAGAACCAUAGGGACACAGAGAGGAAGGAUGAGCCAGCCAGUCCUCUUCCUCCCUCAACCCCAGACUGAGCAGGUCUUAUGAAGGGAAUCUAAAGCCAAGCAGCGGGGACAUGCCUGAGAGAGCAGCACAGGAGCUGCUGGGUCUGUGAGUCCGAGAGAGAACACUACACAAACAUGCGCUCCCGUAGCAAGGAACGGAAUGAGCAUGCGUGCUUGCCGGAGAGGGUAACAAGUCCUACAGAGACCUGAAAACCAGAGGAAGGGGCCGGGAAAUGCAGAGUCUGCCCAAGGAGUGUGCCUGAAAGCGGGGUCGGCGCGGGAAGCCUUUCUGAGAAGCCUCUUCGGAAAUGAGUGGAGGUGAAGGCGUGACCGUGGGGUUAAGUGUGCGGAGGGAGCUGUGGGAAGAAGGAACAGUUGCUGUAGCAGCCUGAGCAGGUGGACAGAAAGCAAAGGGGCCACAGUGAAGCCUGGAGAGCGAGGAGGAGAGCGAGGCUUGGGGCAGAGGACAGGCGGUAAAGGGAACCUAACCGCGGCCAGUGCAAAGACCUGGCUUUUAUUUCACCCCAAGAGAGCUGUACCCGAGUCAAAAAAGUGAUGGAUUUGGUUCAGCUACGUGCGUGCCAUUCGGGAGAGUCAGAACCUGUUCAUCAAUCCUGGAUCCUCAUCUUGAGCUUCCGAGCUUCCCCUAAGCCCAGAAACCUGAUCUUGGCUGUGCCAUGGGACAUCAGAGAAAGAUGCUGUGGAAUUAGAGGAACCUAGGACUGAGGGACACGGAACUUGGCCCCACAUUACCACCAGACCUCAGUUUCCCAGGGAAGAAGCCACUAGGCAGCUCUUGCCAGUGUUAUCCCCCAAACCCAGGGAAGCUGAGGGAGGGGAUACAGGGAGGGAGAAGGAAGUUCUGCCUCAAUCACUUGCUAGGGGUCCUGUCUCACUCCCCUCUACCUAUGCUGUCUCAGCACCCUCGACCUCAAGACCAGGCUCUUCAGAGGUCCUCCUUGCCUUCUCAAGUCUGCCAUCUAUAGCUUUGGAUGAUGUAAUGCCCAAAGUCUGCCCUCCCACCUUUCCUAAAACUUAGCCUGUAUCCCAUCCAUACCAUCAAGGUAAAUGAGUUUCUCUCAGCCAGACUCUACUCUACCCAAUUUUCUCUGGAUGAAGC